UACGGAGGAUCCAAGCGUUAUCCGGAUUCACUGGGUUUAAAGGGUGCGUAGGUGGAAUGACAAGUCAGUGGUGAAAACCUGCAACUUAACUGUAGAACUGCCAUUGAUACUGUUAUUCUUGAGUACAUUUGAUGUGAGCGGAAUGUGUCAUGUAGCGGUGAAAUGCUUAGAUAUGACACAGAACACCAAUUGCGAAGGCAGCUCACAAAACUGUAACUGACACUGAGGCACGAAAGCGUGGGGAUCAAACAGG
rnacentral:rRNA from 1 species